rnacentral:lncRNA from 1 species
UUUCUCCUCCUCCUCCUCCUCCUCUUCUUCUUCUUCUUCUUCUUUUCUCCUCCUCCUCCUCCUCCUCUUCUUCUUCUUCUUCUUCUUCUUCUUCUUCUUCUUCUUCUUCUUCUUAUUCUUCUUCUUCUUCUCCAUCUUCUUUUCGUUCUUCUUCUAAUUAUUUUCUUCUUUUCCUUUUUUCUUUUCCAUUUUUUUCCUUCUGCUUUUCCUCUGUUUUUUCUUCUAACCUAAC